GGUGUGAUGGCCUAGCCAGGUAGGGCGGAGGGCUGCUAAUCCUCUGUGGUAAAACACUCAUGGGUUCAAAUCCCAUUCACACCG
rnacentral:tRNA from 1 species